rnacentral:rRNA from 1 species
UAAUGCACAAUGGGGGAAACCCUGAUGCAGCGACGCCGCGUGAGUGAAGAAGUAUUUCGGUAUGUAAAGCUCUAUCAGCAGGGAAGAANNUGACGGUACCUGAUUAAGAAGCCCCGGCUAACUACGUGCCAGCAGCCGCGGUAAUACGUAGGGGGCAAGCGUUAUCCGGAUUUACUGGGUGUAAAGGGAGCGUAGAAGGUGAUGCAAGUCAGAAGUGAAAGCCCGGGGCUCAACUCCGGGACUGCUUUUGAAACUGUGUGACUGGAGUGCAGGAGAGGUAAGCGGAAUUCCUGGUGUAGCGGUGAAAUGCGUAGAUAUCAGGAGGAACACCAGUGGCGAAGGCGGCUUACUGGACUGUAACUGACGUUGAGGCGCGAAAGCGUGGGGGGGAA